CAUCCACUUUGUUAAUCAGUCACACUGUUUCUUGCAAGAGCACAGGACCAGAGGAAACACAGUGGCGUGAAGGCAGAGCUCACCUCAUUCAUAGUAGCCUUUCAUUAUGAAGUCUGAACAAGAAGAGUUCUAGGAGCAUCCACUUCCAGUUGAAUCAAAUAAAAAGAGCAAUGGUUUCCAUUUUCUCAAGCCAAAGAGAGGUGGCUCCGGCAAGGAAAUGAGCUCUGGAAAUACUGACAUGUUGUUUUUAUCUGCCUGCAAUCAGUCCUCCUGCACUGUCAUGCUCCCUUGGAAGUCCACAUACUAAAGCAGAGACACACGACAGAGGUAUGCUGCUUCCUAUAUUGAGGAGGGAGAAAGAGAUGUUUAUGGUUAAUUUAAGCAAGUUCCCAGUUGCCUGUGAGAUGUGACAUCUGCAGGUCACAGCUUUCCAGAGCAUCCCCUCCAAACUUAUUCUAGC